CACCGUGAUUCGCAGCAUGUCCUGAGUACCCAGGAACUGCAGGUGAGGGGCAGUGGUGGCACAUGUGGUGCCCACUGGGCAGCCUCUCAGGGGAGGACUUCUCUGGGCUCAGGUGAUCAAGGAGGAUCUGGAGAGGAGGCUGUUGGAGCCACUGACAGCCCCCUACACAACCCUCCACUGUACCAUGCUGACCAAAAUCAAGAGCUAUGCUCCAUAGCUUUCCCUAAGGUCACUACUAAUAAGCAGCUGAGCAGGAACAGCAGGGGGCCCAGGACCUCUGGGACCCUGUGACCACUACCCCCUGGACCCGCUCUCUCUCUGAGACCAACUUGAAGCCUGGGCCCCAGCCCCUCCUGCCUACAUUCUUAUCGGGCCGACCUACUGACAAUUCUGGCCCCUUCUCUCCACGGGUCCCCCCACUGUCCCUGCCGCCUCAGUCCUGUUGGCAGCUCACCCUCAGCAUGCAGAAGGCUCUGGAAGCUCAUCCGUCUCACACUUCGUCUGCGCUCUCCAGGGUGGUGAACCCCAAACCAUGGGUCCCCGCCUGCAGGCCCUGCAGCCUGCUGGUGCUGCCUGUUACUGGGCCUCCUGCUCCACUCUGCCCUGCCCUGCUGUGGGCUGACCUCCGGCCCUCGCUGGUCCUGCAAGCCCGGCUCCUCAGGGCGGCUUUUCCGGAGCCAGCAGGCCUUUCACAGGCAGCCCAUCACCCGCCUUGUCUAACCACCGCUGUCCAGCAUCCUGCCUACAUGUUCGUCCCAGAGACCUCAGGCCACUCCGAUGUGCUUGCCCUGAGCCUUUCCCAGAAGGCACAGUGCAGGUCUCUACCACAGCCCCUGUCCCUUCCCCCUCCUUGAGAACCCCUGCGUGCCCUUGCCUUGGAGCUGUGAGCAACGGCCUCCUCCUCUAAGGCAGUGGCCUCCGUGGUCACCUGCUAUACCCAAUUCACAUGAAGCCUAAAUCCCCAGCUUCUCUCCUGCCAGGGCCCACUGUGCUCCCCUUCUGUGUCCAGAGGACAGACAGAGAACACGGGGUCCCAGGGUGUGGUGACAGCACCACACAGUCCCACUGGGGACGCAGUAGCAGGCAGCGAGUGCCAAAGACAGUGCUGCGGGGCUGCCUCCUGGGUGGGCAAAGCUUUGCAUCUUGUCAGGCAGCCUGGCGUGGACAGCCUCAGGGUCCGAGGGGGCAGAGCGCCCAGGAGUAGCUGCAUGGGCCAGGCCACAUGCUCUCUGCAAGGCGGGCAAGCCAGUGGGCAGUGAGGGGGCACUUGGGGCUGGCAGGACAGUGUGUGCCUUUGGAGGCUGGCUACCCUUCCCACCCUCAGAAGACAUCCGUGUGCCGAGAGAGCGGGGCAAGCAGGAGACCCACCUGUCAAGAAGCAGGGCAUGGCGGGCGUCCUGUCUACUCAGGGUCAGCAACCUGAGCCCUGGGCCUGCCCCUGUCUCUAGAUGAAGCCUACUGAGACAGAGCUCCUAAACCUCCUCGCUAAGGACCUGCCUUGGGCCAGCAUGGCCCGGCCAAAUCGUGAGCGCACUUCACUGGCCUUUAGUCCCACACACUGCCCCCUCUGUAGGACCAGCCCCCUCUCCCAGCGUGAUGGUUUUCCUCUUGAUGUGGUUUGCCUAUUUCUACGCAGGCAAGGGGCCGAGCUGCCAAGGGGACCUAGGUAGCUCCCAGGCUGGCUGUGGGACAUUCCUGUGGAACAUUGUCCACUUACUGCCAUGCCACCUGUGGCCAGUUUCUCCACAGAAAGGCAGGGAUGAGAAGGCUCCAGAGAAGCAGAGCAUUCACUUCCUGACCUCUGCAGAGAACACCUGUGCCCCAGCCCCCUCCCGCAAGGAAGCCCUGUGUGGCCACUGGGUGGUUCUUGUGGGGUUCUCAGCAAUGGCCAAUGCCUCCGUCACACCUCAGCUUCAAACACGCCAGCCACCAAGCAGUGCAGACAGGUUACCUGGCUGGAAGCACACACGAGCAGGAGCCAAGCGCAGAGUGCUGACUCUAGCAGUAGCCUCUCCUCCCAAGCAGGUCACCAGUGACCUUCUUUUGUUCCCAUUUCCCCUCCAAACAUCAUGCACAAGCCGUGCUCGGGACGCUACCUGAGAGCCGCUGCCAUGCCCACUUGUCUGGGUGUCAGGCUGGGAUGUGGAGGGCCUGGGUAGGAGACGCUGCCUGUGGGGGAAAGACACAAGGUGCUGGAGGGCGGUGCUGCAGGCUGCCUCCUGGGUGGGCAGGCUUUGUGCCUUGCCAGGGAGCCGGGAUGCAUCAGGUCCCUGGAGGCCAGGCUUCUCCAGCUGUUGCGAGGCUGAUGACAGGCAGCACCACACACCCCCUUCCUGCCCGCCCGCACCCUGAGUGUGCAGCAGCCGGAGUUCCUCC
rnacentral:lncRNA from 1 species